rnacentral:rRNA from 1 species
UACGUAGGGUGCGAGCGUUGUCCGGAAUUAUUGGGCGUAAAGAGCUCGUAGGCGGUGUGUCGCGUCGGCCGUGAAAACCUGGGGCUCAACUCUGGGCGUGCGGUCGAUACGGGCAUCACUUGAGUUCGGCAGGGGAGACUGGAAUUCCUGGUGUAGCGGUGAAAUGCGCAGAUAUCAGGAGGAACACCGGUGGCGAAGGCGGGUCUCUGGGCCGAUACUGACGCUGGAGGAGCG